rnacentral:rRNA from 1 species
AGUGGCGCACGGGUGAGUAACACGUAGGUCACGUGCCGAUUAGUGGGGGAUAACACAGGGAAACCUGUGCUAAUACCGCAUGUGAAGGUAACUUCAAAGGUGGCGCAAGCUAUCGCUAAUUGAACGGCCUGCGGCCUAUUAGCUAGUUGGUGGGGUAAUGGCCUACCAAGGCGACGAUAGGUAACUGGUCUGAGAGGAUGAUCAGUCACACUGGAACUGAGACACGGUCCAGACUCCUACGGGAGGCAGCAGUAGGGAAUAUUGCGCAAUGGGGGAAACCCUGACGCAGCAACGCCACGUGAGUGAGGAAGGUCUUCGGAUUGUAAAGCUCUGUCCUUAGGGAAAAAUGGUUUAGGCGUGAACAAUGCUUAGACUUGAUGGUACCUAAGAAGAAAGCACCGGCUAACUUCGUGCCAGCAGCCGCGGUAAUACGAAGGGUGCAAGCGUUGUUCGGAUUUAUUGGGCGUAAAGCGCGCGCAGGCGGACGAGAAAGUCAGAUGUGAAAUCUCAGGGCUUAACCCUGAAAUUGCGUCUGAAACUGUUUGUCUAGAAUAUUGGAGGGGAUAGGGGAAUUUCUCAUGUAGGGGUAAAAUCNGUAGAUAUGAGAAGGAACAUCGGAGGCGAAGGCGCCUAUCUGGCCAAUUAUUGACGCUGAGGCGCGAAAGCGUGGGGAGCAAACAGGAUUAGAUACCCUGGUAGUCUACNNCGUAAACGAUGAGUACUAGU